CAGGGAAUCUUGCGCAAUGGACGGGAGUCCGACGCAGCGACGCCGCGUGGGUGAAGACGGCCUUCGGGUUGUAAAGCCCUUUUCUGGGGGAAGAGAGAGGACGGUACUCCAGGAAUAAGUGUCGGCUAACUACGUGCCCGCAGCCGCGGUAAUACGUAGGACACCAGCGUUAUCCGGAUUUACUGGGCGUAAAGCGCCCGUCGGCGGGUCUUCAAGGCGUUUGUGAAAGCCCUGGGCUCAACCUGGGGAGGUCAAGCGAUACUGGAGGAGUUGAGGGUGGCAGAGGGGAGUGGAAUUUCCGGUGUAGCGGUAAAAUGCGCAGAUAUCGGGAGGAACACCAGUGGCGAAGGCGGCUCCCUGGGUCACCCCUGACGCUGAGAGGCGAAAGCUAGGGG
rnacentral:rRNA from 1 species